rnacentral:rRNA from 1 species
UACGUAGGGGGCAAGCGUUGUCCGGAAUUAUUGGGCGUAAAGAGCGUGUAGGCGGUCCGGUAAGUCGGCUGUGAAAGUCCAGGGCUCAACCCUGGGAUGCCGGUCGAUACUGCCGGGCUAGAGUCCGGAAGAGGCGAGUGGAACUCCUGGUGUAGCGGUGGAAUGCGCAGAUAUCAGGAAGAACACCAACGGCGAAGGCAGCUCGCUGGGACGGAACUGACGCUGAGGCGCGAAAGCGUGGGGAGCGAACAGG